ncrna:unclassified sequences c-di-GMP-II-GAG riboswitch
UGCAACAGGGGAAGCAUCGAUCCUCGGACCGAUUUCCGGUCGCCGAGUGGGUCCAGAACCCGCGCGUCCGAGGGGAGCGAGUGGCGAGACCGACCCCAGGUCCG